UACGUAGGUGGCGAGCGUUGUCCGGAAUGACUGGGCGUAAAGGGAGCGUAGGUUGCGAUUUAAGUUAGGUGUGAAAGCCUGUAGCUUAACUACAGAAUUGCAUUUAAAACUGGAUUGCUAGAGUACAGGAGGGGUAAGCGGAAUUCCUAGUGUAGCGGUGGAAUGCGUAGAUAUUAGGAAGAACACCGGAGGCGAAGGCGGCUUACUGGACUGCAACUGACACUGAGGCUCGAAAGCGUGGGGAGCAAACAGG
rnacentral:rRNA from 1 species